GACGAACGCUGGCGGCGUGCCUAACACAUGCAAGUCGAGCGAUGAAGUUCUUCGGAACUGAUUAGCGGCGGACGGGUGAGUAACACGUGGGCAACCUGCCUUGUAGAGGGGAAUAGCCCUCCGAAAGGAAGAUUAAUACCGCAUAAUGUUAUGUCUUCGCAUGAAGAUAUAAUUAAAGGAGUAAUCCGCUACAAGAUGGGCCCGCGGCGCAUUAGCUAGUUGGUGAGGUAACGGCUCACCAAGGCAACGAUGCGUAGCCGACCUGAGAGGGUGAUCGGCCACAUUGGGACUGAGACACGGCCCAGACUCCUACGGGAGGCAGCAGUGGGGAAUAUUGCACAAUGGGGGAAACCCUGAUGCAGCAACGCCGCGUGAGUGAUGACGGCCUUCGGGUUGUAAAGCUCUGUCUUCAGGGACGAUAAUGACGGUACCUGAGGAGGAAGCCACGGCUAACUACGUGCCAGCCGCCGCGGUAACAC
rnacentral:rRNA from 1 species